UACCAGCUCCCCGAGUGGUUGGGACGAUUAUUGGGUCUGAAGCGUCCGUAGCCGGCCGGAAAAGUUCCCCGUUAAAUCUGGCGAUCCAAUCGUUGGGCUGCGGGGAAUACUCUUCGGCUUGGGGGCGAGGGAGGUCGGCGGUAGUCCCGGGGUAGGGGCGAAAUCCUAUAAUCCCGGGAGGACCACCAGUGGCGAAGGCGGCCGACUAAAACGCGCCCGACGGUGAGGGACGAAAGCUGGGGGAG
rnacentral:rRNA from 1 species